GGGGAAGGAGUUCAGUCUGUUAGGGGGUUGCUGUGCAUCUUCUUCCUGGAGAGAUGAGAGCAGCUGCAAGGGAGGGGUUAAGGAAUGUCUCAGGGUGUGGGGGUCCUCAGCUUGGCUUCUGGCCUAGCUUCCUGCAGAACAACUCUUUGUCCUUGGAGGAGGGGAGCUGUAACGCAAGAUUUAAUCUAACAGAGUGGUUGCGUUAGUUUGGAGUAGAUGAGCAGCAGCUGCUGGGUAUUUUGCCUUUACAAGAGCCCAGUAAUAAGCCCAGAGCUGAUUCUUAUUAGUUCUUAUUAGUGAAAGAUGGAGGCAGGAUGGUCAGAGAGAUUUGAAGAUGCUUUACCACUGGUUUUUAAGAUGGAGGAAAGGCCUUGAGCCAAAGAACGCUGGCAGCUUCUAGAAGCUGGAGAAGAUAAGCAAACACAUUUCCCUUUGGUUUCCGGAAGAAAUACAGUCUUGCCAACACCUUGAUUUUAGCUGGUGAGAUCCAUCUUGAACAUCUGAUUAUACUGAUAAAGCUGGUAGGAACAGUCAUGUAUAAGCUAAUACUUUGGCCACAACUCAUUGGAAAAGACCCUGAUGCUGGGAAAGAUUGAAGGCAAAGGGAGAAUGGGGCCACAGAGGAUGAGAAGAUUACAGAGCAUCACUGACUGACUUGACAUGAAUUUGAGCAAACUGAGAGAUUGUGGAAGACAGAGGAGCCUGGUGUACUGCAGUCCAUGGGGUCACAAAGACUCAGGCAUGACUUAGUGACUGAACAAUGAAAUUCUUAGAUUUUUCUUGGGCUGGAUCAUAUAGUGCAUGUACAUUUGACUUUCUAAGGUGGAGUUUUCCAGAGUGAUUGAAUCAUUUUACCUUCCAAAUGUAGUGUGUAAGAGUUCUGGUUCUUCUACAUUCUUGCCGAUGAUUGAUUGGUAGGUCUAUCUCUUUAAGUUUUGGUUACUCUAAUAAAUGUAUAGGGACAUUUCCUAUGGUGUUAAUUUGCAUUUCCCUUAGGACUAAUAAUGUUGAACAUAUUUUUGUGUAUUUAUUUGCCACUUCACUAAAGUGUCCAGCCACAUCUUUUGCCCAUUUUUUUAUUAGGCUGUUUGUUUUCUUAGUGUUAAGUUUUGAGUGUUCUUUACAUAGACUGUGGUGUUGAAGAAGACUCUUGAGAGUCCCUUGGACUGCAAGGAGAUCCAAUCAGUCUAUCCUAAAGGAAAUCAGUCCUGAAUAUUCACUGGAAGGACUGAAGCUGAAGCUGAAAUGCUAAUAUUUUGGUCACCUGAUGCAAAAAACUAACUCAUUUGAAAAGUCCCUGAUGCUGGGAAAGAUUGAAGGCAGGAGGAGAAGGGGAUGACAGAGGAUGAGAUGGCUGAAUGACACACUGAUUCAAUGGACAUGAGUUUGAGUAAACUCCAGGAGUUGGUGGUGGACAGGGAGGCCUGGUGUGCUGCAGUCCAUGGGUUCACAAAGAGUCAGACACGACUGAGCAACUGAACUUACAGCCUGGAUACAUGUCCUUUAGAAGAUAUAUGCUUUGCAAAGAUUUUCUCAUUAUCUGUGUCUUAUUUCUGUCUCUAUUGAAUGCCAGAAGUUCUAAAUUUUGAUGAAGGUCAAUUUAUCAGUUUGUCUUUGUAUGGACUAUGCUUUUGAUAUAUCUAAAUAAUCUUUGAGGGUCACAAAUUUUUCUUUUAUUUUUUUAUUCUAUAAGUUUUAUUUUAGGUUUUAAAUUUUAUUCUAUCAUUCAAUUUGAGUUAUUAGUUAUGUACAGUGUGAGGUAGGGAUCAAAAUUUGCUGUUUUACAUAUAAACGUCCAAUUGUUCCAUCACAGGGUGUUGAAAAGAGUAGACUUUUUUCACUGACUUGACUUUGAACUUCUGUCAAAAAUCAGUUGUGUGUGUGUGUAUAUAUUUGAACUGUUUCACUCCAUUGAUCUAUUUCACUAUUCUGAUGCCAGUACCACAAGAUCUGGGUUACUUUAGCUUUAUAAUAAGUCUACAAGUCAGGUAGUGUAAGACCUCAAGCUUCAUUGUUUUCAACGAUGUGCUAGCAUAUUAUAUUUGCAUUCUAUAUAAAUUUUGGAAUCACCUUGUCAAUAUCUAAAGUAUCUUCUGGGAUUGAGAUUUUGAUUGGGACUAUAUUGAAACUAUAGCUCAGUUUGGGGAGAACUGACAUUUUUAGCAACAUUGAGUCUUCUGACUCAUGAACAUGGUGUAUCUAUCCACUCAUUUAGACUUCCUUUAACUUUUUUUUACUUUGUUUAAUCUCAGAAGUGUUCUGUAGUUUUCACUGUAUAGGCCUCACAUCUUUUGUCAAAUUUAAAUCUUUGUAUUUCACAUUUUUUGAUGAUGUUGCAAAUUGUAUUUCUUUUUAAAUUUCAACUUUGGAUUCUUUGUUGCUAGUACAUAGAAAUAUAAUUGAUUUUUGUACUGAUCUUUUAUCCUGCAACCUUGCUAACUAAAUUAUUAGUUCUAGUAGCUUUUUUCAGAGUCCUUCAGGUUUUCAGUAUAGACUAUCAUGUUGUCUCUGAAUAAAGACAGUGUUACCUCUUCCUUUUCAAUCUAGAUUUUAAAAAUUUCCUUUUCUUAUUGCGCUGGCAAGAACCUCCACCACACUGCUGAAUAGAAGUGGUAGAACUGGCCAUCAAUGUUUCUGCUGUUACAGCCUUUUUCCUUUGAGAAGUCCCUGCUGAGGUUGGGGGCAUGGGUGUCUAUUCAAGCCUGCCUGAACUUGCUUUGCAGCCAUUCUUCUCUAAGAUCUUAUUACCAUCUGGUGGGUGCUGCUUGGAUGCAGAAGCCAAAUUCCCUAUAUUCUUGGCUUUUCAGAUCUCACUGUUCUCUCUCUCCCCAUCCCCAUCCUCUCUCUUCUCUAUGAUAGUCUGUCUGUACUGUGAAUCACUGUCUCCUACUCUUUCACUUCCUGUAAAUUCUGGAAAAACACAGUCAUAUCCUUGAAUGGAAUCUCCAAUGUUUGGCCAGAUACCUUUACUGAAGCAAUGUAGACAAAUGGACCUGCUGAGAAAGGCGGACAAUACAGUGAGAGCAGAAGUGAGUUAAUGUCAUCCCUUCUUUUCCUUUUUUUCCCCUCUUUCCCUUUCUCCCUUUCCUCCAUCUUUCACUCUCUCCCUCCAUCCAUCCCUCCCUUCCUUUCUUCUUUCUAUUCAACCAGCAAUUCUGAGCACCUCCUGUCAGGUACAGCCAACCUCCUUAGCUUUAAUCCUCUGCAGUAGUGGGCAAAUGCUCCUGCAUAUGGACAACAGCAGAGUGAUUCACAAAUCCAAAAACGGAGUUGGGUUCUCUGAUUUUUCUAACAGCUUCAGUGACUCUCAGAUAAUAAGCACAAUUUACAUUCAUUCUAACUUGAUAACUUUUCACUGUUUUAUUAUUAUCUAUUUCUUCCCAACGAAUUAUCCUGGAGCUUAGCAACUCAGAAAAGACUUAUUAUCUCCUAUAAGGGAUCCAGGGAUCCAGUUGCAGUUUAGCUGGGUCCUCUGCUUCAGAAUCUCUCAUGAUCUGCCAUUAACCGUGUUAGCCUGGGCUACGGUUCUGUCAAGGCUCUGCUGGGGAAGAAUCUGCUUCUGAGUCCAGUCAUGUGGUUCUUUGCCUGAUUCAGGUCCUCACAGGCUGUCCCUUGCCAUAUGGCCCUUUCUAUAGCACAGAUCACAACAUGGCAGUUGGCAUCACCAGAAUGAGCAAACGAGAUAAACUAGCAAGAUGCCAGUGAGUGGAAAUUGUAAUCUUUUAUAACCUUAUCUCAAAAGUGCUAUUCUAUAUUCUCUUCAUUAGAAGUGAGCCACUUGGUCCAACUUGUGCUCAAGGAGAAGAGAUUAUCUAAUGGUGUAAAUACCAGGAGGUGAGACCAGUGGAACCAUCCCUACCAUAACUAUACUUUGAAUGGAGGCCAAUAUCUCAAGAAAUUGAGGUCAAUUGGCAGUUCCUUUUUGUUUGGUGAAGGGGAAGGAGCCAAGAUUUAUACGCAUCUACCUUGUGUCAAGCCCAUUGUUGAAUGAUCUUAUGUGCCUUACUUAUUUCACUCCCACAUCUUUCCUGUGAUAUAUUUGUGGCAGAUGUAUUGAGGCUUUCCCUCAAUAUUCAUUCUUCCAUUCUUUCCUGUUGUUGUUCCCUCGCUAAAUCAUGUCUAACUCUUUGCAACCCCAUGGACUGCAAAAUUUCUGAUGGUUGCCCAGGUGAAGACUACAUUUCCCACUCAUUUUC
ensembl:lncRNA